rnacentral:snRNA from 1 species
AAAGUGGCCAGUCUCAGGGGAGAUACCAUGAUCACGGAGGUGGUUUUCCCAGGGCGAGGCUUAUCCAUUGCACUCCAGAUGUGCUGACCCCUGCGAUUUCCCCAAACGUGGGAAACUCGACUGCAUAAUUUGUGGUAGUGGGGGACUGCGUUCGCGCUUUCCCCUG